AAGGGCAUAGCUCAGUGGUAGAGCACGUGCCUCACAUGCAUGAGGUCCUGGGUUCAAUCCCCAAGUACCUCCG
rnacentral:tRNA from 1 species